GAAAGAAAGAAAGAAAGAAAGAAGCAGCAGCCCCGUCUGUCUGGUCUGUUCUUUUGUUCUGUUCUUUUUUUCUUUUUCUUUUCUUUUCUUUUUUUUUCUUUUUUUUGGAGGAAGGGAAAGGAAGGAAGGAAGGAAG
rnacentral:ribozyme from 1 species